rnacentral:tmRNA from 1 species
GGGGCUGACAUGGCUUUGACAGCGUGUUGAGGUGGUAAGUAAGCAUGCAGAGUGACGGUGCCUGUGCUCUUUAAAUCCAUGACAUCCUAAAUUUUAACUGGCGAGAAUAACUACGCUCUUGCUGCUUGAUCGAAGCACAGUAGAUCAGCUUAAUCUCUGCCCAAGGAUGGUAGAGACAAGACAUCACCCAGCGGCCCUUGCUCCGAGGCUUGUUGAAACGGUGGUGCUAGCAUAUCGGGGAUAGAGAGUGACAUGUCUCGUGUCAUUCUCGAGAUUUAGAGACUAAGCCGAGGGUUGGUGGUCUUGAGCCUGCCCCAGGUCGAAAAUCAAGUCAACGACUAAGCAUGUAGAAAGCUUAUUAGUUCCACGUUUGGACGAGGGUUCAACCCCCUCCAGCUCCACA